UGGCGUCCAGGCUCCAGCACAGUGAGGGAGGAAAUUGGAGCAAGUAGGGGAUUACAGUAGGUAUAUUUGGAAUAGCUUUCCUUCCCAGAAGUCAUGGAUAUCUGUUGGAGAUGACACUUUUAAUGCAGCAGUAAGCAGAAGAAAUCUGUCCUUUCCCCCCAUCUUGCAAUGGACUGAAGCCUUACAGCAAUGGGGGCAGCCUUCGCCAACCUGACACUCUCCAAAUGUUUUCGACUACAACUCUCAUCAAUUCCAGUCUGCAGGGAUAUGACAGUCAGAUGAUUGAGCCGGUUACCUCUAUUCCUAAAGGAUCUGAGAUUCUUAAUCUACAACACUAAACGGCAGCCUUUAACCAUCCUGGCUCUAAAUUGGACCAUCACCCAUUGGGUUUCAAAAAUCAAAAGCAAUUGGACAUAACACUUCCUACAUCACUUCCUUCCAAGACAUAGUCCACAAAACUCAUGUGACUUAACUACACCAGCCGAUGCAUUAGGAACAUUUCAAUCCAACUUUCGACUUUUCUCUGAUUGAAGGAGGCAGCAGGUCUUUUGAAGCCAAGUUGGACAGGAGUAAGAGAAAGCUUCUUAUCUUUCAGGAUGAAAUGGCUUUGAUAUGCGGCCUUGUUUCUAUCAACACAUGGAUUUCUGAGCUCUUUGAUGUUAUGGUUUCAUGUCCCUGGGAUAUCUCAUUUCGCAGUGCUAAACAAUAAAGAAAAUGUAAAGCAAAACAACACAAAGGGGUGUACAGCUUUUGCAACUGUUGUUUUGUGUCUCUCAAAACAACAGCAGAGGCAUCAACUUGAAGGGCUGUGACAUGGUUUUUUAUUUAGAACCUUUCUAUUCCCCAACCCCUGCACCAUACUGCCUGUAUCCAUAUUUGCGUCAAUAACUUUCAGAUCUCCACAAUCCACAAGGAACCUACCACCAGUCAUGGAAUAAGAACACCAAAUGCAUCUGUAAUGAAUCAUAAAAAAGAGACAGAAGUAAACCUUCAAAGGCAUUGCUAGUUCUAAGGUCCAAGGUCUUUGGAGACCUUGUGUCACACCCCUUCUAUUUUAUCUUGUUGGUUUAUUCAUUCAUUUUGGUGCAACUCAGCAACAACAGCAACGUUGCCUCUAGUUCUCACAUAUGCAAUCUAGUAUGCAUGGAGCAAAACAGCUGACAAGCCUUUGUACCAGUUAGUUGGCAUUAAACCAAAGCAUCAAAAUAUAUUUUGGACAAACAAAGAGAAGGACAUCUGGCUUUAAGAGACAGAGGCCACAAGUCUGAGGCUGGUUGCUCUUGAGGAAUCCUGCUGACUAUCUUAUCUGUUUAUAUAUAUAUAUAUAUAUUAUGCCACCUUCCUCAACAGUCUCAUGGUGAUGCACAAAAUUAAAA